CAAUAUUCAACAAUGAGUCACAGUUGCGAAAUCAUAUGAAAAAAAAAAACGUUCUGAUAAACAUUGCUAUUGUUUCCGCGAGUUAGUGGACCGUCACAGCUUCGAAGCCAUUUGGUGCGUCAUAAGAAGGAAAGAAUGCAUCCAUGUAAGCAUUGCGAUGUCAGCUGCGAGGAACGGUCGAUGCAGACCGCACACUUAAAAAACCAUGCGAACGAGCGGCCGCGCGCUUCUAAAUUUUGUGGCAACACCAAGAGUUCGUCAAAGGAUCCAUGCCGGGGAAAAGUCGCACAUUUGUAUCUUCUGUGACAAAGGUUUUACCCUUCCGUGGUAGCUGAAGGUCCACACGAACGAACAAUCAUUCGAAUGUCGCUGUCAGAAACGAUUCAACUAGAAUGGUACCCAUGAUACAUACUCGAAUUCACACGGGCGAGCGACUCUUCAAGUGUACCCAGUGCGAAAAGACCUACCCGAGUCAGGGUGAACUUGGCCGGAGGCCAAAUCACAAGGGUUCGUUCCUGCCGGAUGUGUCUUCAAAUUUAUCGCGGAGCCGACAUGCAAGAGGACAAUCCAUUUAAAUUACAGCUGGAGAAUAGUUGUCCAGGCACAAAGUCACAGGCACAGAGGCA